UACGUAGGGUGCAAGCGUUGUCCGGAAUUCUUGGGCGUAAAGAGCUCGUAGGCGGUUUGUCGCGUCGGCUGUGAAAACUCGGGGCUCAACCCCGAGCCUGCAGUCGAUACGGGCAGACUAGAGUGCGGUAGGGGAGACUGGAAUUCCUGGUGUAGCGGUGAAAUGCGCAGAUAUCAGGAGGAACACCGGUGGCGAAGGCGGGUCUCUGGGCCGUAACUGACGCUGAGGAGCGAAAGCGUGGGGAGCAAACAGG
rnacentral:rRNA from 1 species